AUUGAACGCUGGCGGCAGGCUUAACACAUGCAAGUCGAGCGGGGGAAGGUAGCUUGCUACUGGACCUAGCGGCGGACGGGUGAGUAAUGCUUAGGAAUCUGCCUAUUAGUGGGGGACAACAUCUCGAAAGGGAUGCUAAUACCGCAUACGUCCUACGGGAGAAAGCAGGGGAUCUUCGGACCUUGCGCUAAUAGAUGAGCCUAAGUCGGAUUAGCUAGUUGGUGGGGUAAAGGCCUACCAAGGCGACGAUCUGUAGCGGGUCUGAGAGGAUGAUCCGACACACUGGGACUGAGACACGGCCCAGACGCCUACGGGAGGCAGCAGUGGGGAAUAUUGGACAAUGGGGGGAACCCUGAUCCAGCCAUGCCGCGUGUGUGAAGAAGGCCUUAUGGUUGUAAAGCACUUUAAGCGAGGAGGAGGCUACUUUAGUUAAUACCUAGAGAUAGUGGACGUUACUCGCAGAAUAAGCACCGGCUAACUUCGUGCCAGCAGCCGCAGUAA
rnacentral:rRNA from 1 species